rnacentral:rRNA from 1 species
GAUGAACGCUGGCGGCGUGCCUAAUACAUGCAAGUCGAGCGAACUUUUGGGAGCUUGCUCCCAAAAGUUAGCGGCGGACGGGUGAGUAACACGUGGGUAACCUGCCUGUAAGACUGGGAUAACUUCGGGAAACCGGAGCUAAUACCGGAUAACAUUGAAGACCACAUGGCCUUCUAUUAAAAGGUGGCUUUUAGCUACCACUUACAGAUGGACCCGCGGCGCAUUAGCUAGUUGGUGAGGUAACGGCUCACCAAGGCGACGAUGCGUAGCCGACCUGGGAGGGUGGUCGACCACACUGGGACUGAGACACGGCCCAGGAUCCUACGGGAGGCAGCAGUAGGGAAUCUUCCGCAAUGGACGAAAGUCUGACGGAGCAACGCCGCGGGGGCGAAGAAGGCCUUCGGGUCGGAAAGCUCUGUUGUUAGGGAAGAAAAAGUAUCGUUCGAAUAGGGCGGUACCUUGACGGUACCUAACGAGAAAGCCACGGCUAACUACGUG